rnacentral:rRNA from 1 species
UACGGAGGAUCCGAGCGUUAUCCGGAUUUAUUGGGUUUAAAGGGUGCGUAGGUGGCCUGUUAAGUCAGGGGUGAAAGACGGUAGCUUAACUAUCGCAGUGCCCUUGAUACUGAUGGGCUUGAAUACACUAGAGGUAGGCGGAAUGUGACAAGUAGCGGUGAAAUGCAUAGAUAUGUCACAGAACACCAAUUGCGAAGGCAGCUUACUAUGGUGUCAUUGACACUGAGGCACGAAAGCGUGGGGAUCAAACAGG